rnacentral:rRNA from 1 species
GAUGAACGCUUGCGGCGUGCCUAAUACAUGCAAGUCGAGCGAACAGAUAAGGAGCUUGCUCCUUUGACGUUAGCGGCGGACGGGUGAGUAACACGUGGGUAACCUACCUAUAAGACUGGGAUAACUUCGGGAAACCGGAGCUAAUACCGGAUAAUAUUUCGAACCGCAUGGUUCGAUAGUGAAAGAUGGUUUUGCUAUCACUUAUAGAUGGACCCGCGCCGUAUUAGCUAGUUGGUAAGGUAACGGCUUACCAAGGCGACGAUACGUAGCCGACCUGAGAGGGUGAUCGGCCACACUGGAACUGAGACACGGUCCAGACUCCUACGGGAGGCAGCAGUAGGGAAUCUUCCGCAAUGGGCGAAAGCCUGACGGAGCAACGCCGCGUGAGUGAUGAAGGUCUUCGGAUCGUAAAACUCUGUUAUUAGGGAAGAACAUACGUGUAAGUAACUGUGCACGUCUUGACGGUACCUAAUCAGAAAGCCACGGCUAACUACGUGCCAGCAGCCGCGGUAAUACGUAGGUGGCAAGCGUUAUCCGGAAUUAUUGGGCGUAAAGCGCGCGUAGGCGGUUUUUUAAGUCUGAUGUGAAAGCCCACGGCUCAACCGUGGAGGGUCAUUGGAAACUGGAAAACUUGAGUGCAGAAGAGGAAAGUGGAAUUCCAUGUGUAGCGGUGAAAUGCGCAGAGAUAUGGAGGAACACCAGUGGCGAAGGCGACUUUCUGGUCUGUAACUGACGCUGAUGUGCGAAAGCGUGGGGAUCAAACAGGAUUAGAUACCCUGGUAGUCCACGCCGUAAACGAUGAGUGCUAAGUGUUAGGGGGUUUCCGCCCCUUAGUGCUGCAGCUAACGCAUUAAGCACUCCGCCUGGGGAGUACGACCGCAAGGUUGAAACUCAAAGGAGUUGACGGGGACCCGCACAAGCGGUGGAGCAUGUGGUUUAAUUCGAAGCAACGCGAAGAACCUUACCAAAUCUUGACAUCCUUUGACAACUCUAGAGAUAGAGCUUUCCCCUUCGGGGGACAAAGUGACAGGUGGUGCAUGGUUGUCGUCAGCUCGUGUCGUGAGAUGUUGGGUUAAGUCCCGCAACGAGCGCAACCCUUAAGCUUAGUUGCCAUCAUUAAGUUGGGCACUCUAAGUUGACUGCCGGUGACAAACCGGAGGAAGGUGGGGAUGACGUCAAAUCAUCAUGCCCCUUAUGAUUUGGGCUACACACGUGCUACAAUGGACAAUACAAAGGGCAGCGAAACCGCGAGGUCAAGCAAAUCCCAUAAAGUUGUUCUCAGUUCGGAUUGUAGUCUGCAACUCGACUACAUGAAGCUGGAAUCGCUAGUAAUCGUAGAUCAGCAUGCUACGGUGAAUACGUUCCCGGGUCU